rnacentral:rRNA from 1 species
GAUGAACGCUGGCGGCGUGCCUAAUACAUGCAAGUCGAGCGAACAGAUGAGGAGCUUGCUCCUCUGACGUUAGCGGCGGACGGGUGAGUAACACGUGGAUAACCUACCUAUAAGACUGGGAUAACUUCGGGAAACCGGAGCUAAUACCGGAUAAUAUAUUGAACCGCAUGGUUCAAUAGUGAAAGACGGUUUUGCUGUCACUUAUAGAUGGAUCCGCGCCGCAUUAGCUAGUUGGUAAGGUAACGGCUUACCAAGGCAACGAUGCGUAGCCGACCUGAGAGGGUGAUCGGCCACACUGGAACUGAGACACGGUCCAGACUCCUACGGGAGGCAGCAGUAGGGAAUCUUCCGCAAUGGGCGAAAGCUUGACGGAGCAACGCCGCGUGAGUGAUGAAGGUCUUCGGAUCGUAAAACUCUGUUAUUAGGGAAGAACAAAUGUGUAAGUAACUAUGCACGUCUUGACGGUACCUAAUCAGAAAGCCACGGCUAACUACGUA